rnacentral:lncRNA from 1 species
ACCAGGAUUCUCCUCCCCCCCCCCCCGCCCCACUAUGUUUCUGUGUCUCUGACCUCUGACCUCAUUAAACCAGUAUCAGAUUUAGAGUUACUUUAAUUCCACCCACGCAGAUCCAUAUGUUUCCAUAUGAAGUCUCCUUCUGGCCUGGGUGAACAUGAAUUUGGGGGGCAGUGUUUGAUAUCUAGUCAGACACACCAGGAAUUGUGGUAAGGCCAUACGUCUGCCCAUACAGACAUGCUUAGGUGGAAAUCAAGAUACCUGGGAUGUCUCACCCAGAGCGGUAUUCUGAAUUUUCACACUCUCUCUCUCUGGGAGCAAAGGGGACACAUACCAUGAGUGACCUGUGGUCCUAAUGUUAACUGACAGUGCAAUCUCACAUUCAAGACAAUCAGGUGUUUCAAGGCUUCCCAAACCAUAGGAACUUCAGUAGGUAGAAUGCUUGCCCAGGAGCAGGGGCCUGGGCUUGAUCUCAGCACCACAGGGUGAGGGGUCACAAGCCUCUAACUGAAGCACUUGGGAGGUGGGGGUAGAGGAUUAGGAGUUCAAGGCUACCCUCAGCUUAUACUGACUUUGAAGCCAGCUUGGGACCCUGUUUCAAAAUGCAAUUCGACAACAAUAACAACAACAACAACAAAAAAACUAGCAAUAAGAUUUAUUUAUUUAUUCUGGAUAGACAAAGAGCAUUGAGCAGAGGCGGUUGCUUCAGGCUUAGGUCGCGCACCACCUCCCGAGGCCUGCAGUCAGGGCCAAGCCUCAUUUUCCCUUUAAGAAACUGAAGGUCCUUUGAUGUAGAACAUCGAGUGAGUCUGUGCAGUUGUGCCGUGUGCUCUCUUGCUGGGUCCAUGUGACUCAGGCACCUCUUUGGGGUCUGUGCCCCAUCUCCCCACCAGCCACUAGGGCUGCAUCCCACCCAGGUCGUAAGCAGAACUCUACCCAAAGCCCUCCAGGGACCUGAGUGACCUGUGCUUGUGGCUGUUACCUUUUAACUGCUGACCGAGCUCAGGGAGAAGGUUCCUGUCUGACCCCUUCUAUGUAUCUACGGGCACACAUGUAGCAUGUCACAGACCAAGCCUAGGGGUUAGCUCAGGGGGAGCAGUGUGGAGACCGCUCCUGACUGGCCACAGCGACUGUUGGAGUUUUGCAUGAUCUGGAAUGCAGGUGACCAGUGGCCCAUCUGUCUGGGCGUCAUGCAAAUAAGCCACCUCAGGAAGUUCAGGCGUGAGGCGAGAAGUUUGGCUCUAGCUUCCUGUUCCCUUGUCUCCUUGCCAACCCAUCUCCUGCCCUCUCCAGUGACAGACCCCUGUUGCUCUGUUCUGAGGGACUCAAUCCCAGGGUGAUCCUAGGGCCACUCCUAAACUUCCAGUGUUGCCCAGUUCUCGGCUUCACCCUGCGGUACAGUUGAGUGAAGAACGCAGACAGUUCACUGACAGUCCAAGUGACUCCCUGACUGUAGGCCACUCUCUCCCCAGGCCAUGGGGACCAGAGCAGUGCUGUAGAGUCUCACAGUCAGCAUCUGGCUGCUGGCUAAUGACUGCUUUAUCUCCAGUAGCUGACUGAUGAUAACUUGACUGUCCCCAGAGCCCCUCCCCUCUCCCCCUCUCUCUCUCCUUCCAUACUGCUGCGGGCCACUCUGACCUCUAAAUCGAGUUACACUUUGACCCAGGGAAGGAUGAGCUGAGGGCCAGGCUGCUGGUAAAGACAUCUGCAGGGCUCUUUAGAUUCUGAAGGGGCAGGCCUGUGUUGGGGGAGUUCCUGUCCUCUGAAGAGACUCGGAGCUUCUGGCCUGACUUGAAUAUUGUCACUUCUCUUGAACAGAGACCUUCAGUUUUGCUUCUCACCAGGACCUGAAAGGCACACAGGGGUCUCAGCACCAAGCUUGCUCCCCAGACCCUAGCAGGGAAGAUCACAGGGUAUCGUGCAGGUAUUCAGGACCCGUUUUGCAUCUCCCAAUAGAUGUCCCUGUGGAGCAGUGUCCCUGGGAUAGCUCAUUCAUUCUGGCCUCUCCUCUAGCCACUUUGGAUCUCUUGACACUGCAUCUCUCAACACCACCAUGGUUCAAAUCUAAAUGUCGCCCGUGGGCGUGAUCACCCGUGAAAAAAAAUUGGUCACCAGAUGUGACAGGGUUCUGGAAACUUGUGUGGGACCUGCCUAGAGGAAGUAGGUUAAUGGAGGUGUGUGUAGACCUUCCCAUUUCCUGUCUGCCAUGAGUCCCUGGACCCUCCUCCCUCCCUUCCUCCUCCCCUCCCUCCCUCCCUCCCCUUCCUUCCCUCCCUCCCUCUCUCUGCUUCCUGUCAGCCCCCUCUACUGCCAGCUUUCCCUCCACAAUGUGCAGCCUUCAUAAACUGCCCUUCCUGAAACCAGAAGCCUGAACAAACCUCCACAGCAUUUCUCCGUUUCCCGUGGCCUGGGAAGAGAGUGGCCUACAGUCAGGGGGCUCCGCUUCAAGUUGUUUUAUCAUAUAUUUUGGUCACGUGACGAGAAAGGUAGUUCAUACUGCCACAUGCUCUGGUCACGCUCUGGGCCAUCUUCCCAGCAGCUUGGGUGGCAGCAACCAUCGGCCAUACAGAGCCCAGGAGGUAGGUACAUGCAUCAAUAUGCCAGUGCCAGGGUUGCAAGAGGCAGAGAUACCCACCCUUCAGCUGCAAAGCUGGAUCCUUACAGGUCUUGCCGCGGUGGAGAUUCCUCGGCCACAAGUUCCCUUGUGCUUGCUUUGUCCCCAAGAAAGCAGAAGUCCUGAGGUCAGGGGGAGAGGGGGCCCCUGUGGGACCUCUUGUGGUUAGAGCUGGGAUUGGCCAGGCCUUAGCACAGUGACUUCUGGGAUCUCCAGGGUCUGGUAAGGCCAGGCUGGGCUCUAAGGUGGCUGUCUAAGGUCACUUCCAGGCCACAAGAAGAAGAGGCCUCCCAGGUACACGGAUGAGGUCAAAGGCCUAGCAGCCUUGGUAAUGAGCUUCAUGGCUGGUUCUGCCUGGCCCGUCCCUGUCCUCUGGAGUCUCAGUUGUCACAGGGCACUGUGGCCAUCUACUCCCAGAUUUUCUUUCAAUGCGGUUGGCUCUGAGGCCCUGCCUUCCUCAUUCGCUCCCCGGUGGCACCUGUGGUACUUGCUACUUUGGCAUUUUGAGAGACAAGUCUGUCUAAG